UCCGUAGGUGGAUAAUUAAGUCAGAGGUGAAAUCCUGCAGCUCAACUGUAGAAUUGCCUUUGAAACUGGUUAUCUUGAGUUAUUAUGAAGUAGUUAGAAUAUGUAGUGUAGCGGUGAAAUGCAUAGAUAUUACAUAGAAUACCAAUUGCGAAGGCAGAUUACUAAUAAUAUACUGACACUGAUGGACGAAAGCGUGGGGAGCGAACAGGAUCAGAUACCCUGGUAGUCC
rnacentral:rRNA from 1 species